rnacentral:rRNA from 1 species
UACAGAGGGUGCAAGCGUUGUUCGGAAUUAUUGGGCGUAAAGGGUGCGUAGGUGGCGCUGUAAGUCGGGUGUGAAAUUUCGGAGCUUAACUCCGAAACUGCAUUCGAUACUGCGGUGCUUGAGGACUGGAGAGGAGACUGGAAUUCAUGGUGUAGCAGUGAAAUGCGUAGAGAUCAUGAGGAAGACCAGUGGCGAAGGCGGGUCUCUGGACAGUUCCUGACACUGAGGCACGAAGGCCAGGGAGCAAACGGG